rnacentral:rRNA from 1 species
UACGGAGGGUGCAAGCGUUAUCCGGAAUCACUGGGUUUAAAGGGUGCGUAGGCGGCUUAGUAAGUCAGUGGUGAAAGCCUGUGGCUUAACCAUGGAAUGGCCAUUGAUACUGCUGAGCUUGAAUGAGGUUGAGGUUGGCGGAAUGUGACAUGUAGUGGUGAAAUGCUUAGAUAUGUCAUGGAACACCGAUUGCGAAGGCAGCUGACUGGACCUGUAUUGACGCUGAGGCACGAAAGCGUGGGUAGCGAACAGG